rnacentral:rRNA from 1 species
GGCGGCGUGGCUAAGACAUGCAAGUCGAACGAACUACUGUAUUUAUAUAUGAGUUAGUGGCGUAAGGGUUAGUAACAGGUGGGUAACGUACCCUGUGCUUCGGGAUAGCGUCAUUCCCCGCAAGGGGAAUUUCCGAAAGGGGCAUUAAUACCGAAUGAUAUCAAAGGUCGAUGGACUUUUGAUCAAAGAUUUAUCGGCACGGGAGCGGCCUGCCUCCUAUCAGCUUGUUGGUGUGGUAACGGCGCACCAAGGCUUUGACGGGUAGCGGGACUGAGAGGUUGAUCCGCAACAUCGGGACUGAGACACUGCCCGGACCUCCACGGAGGGCUGCAGUAACGAAUAUUGUGCAAUGGGCGAAAGCCUGACACAGCGACGCCGCGUGUGGGAGGAAGUCCCUCGGGAUGUAAACCACUGUCAGGGGGAAGAAAGUGCGCUUCGGCGCAUUGAUCCACCCCAGAGGAAGUCACGGCUAACUUCGUGCCAGCAGCCGCGGUAAGACGAAGGUGGCUAGCGUUGUUCGGUAUCACUGGGCUUAAAGCGUGUGUAGGCGGGAAAGUAAGCAUCAUGUGAAAUCCCCCGGCUCAACCGGGGAAUGGUGUGAUGUACUGCUUUUCUUGAGGCAAGUAGGGGUGCAUGGAACUCUUGGUGGAGCGGUGGAAUGCGUAGAUAUCAAGAGGAACGCCAGUGGAGAAAUCGGUGCACUGGGCUUGUCCUGACGCUGAGACACGAAAGCGUGGGGAGCGAACGGGAUUAGAUACCCCGGUAGUCCACGCCGUAAACGAUGUCUACUAGGUUGUGGGGGUUCUGACACUCGCACAGCCGAAGCAAAAGUGCUAAGUAGACCGCCUGGGGAGUACGGUCCCAAGGCUAAAACU